CACUGCAUGGCUGCGUAAGUUGUGCAUAAGUGUUUGUUACCGCUUUAUAUAAAAUAUUUUUGGCAAUGGUUCGUUUAAAAAAAGGGCUAUUGCAACGCUAAUUUAUCACCUUAUUUUAGCGCUUUUCCAGACCUCGUUUUCAAUCGAUCAUGUAGAGGUUUUCAGUGGAUUUAUUCACAAGCUUGGUCUAGACCUCCUCAUCUUGGAGUAGUUGUGAAGAAAAUAAACCCAUUACUUUCCUGUUAGGGAUUUUCGAUUACUACAGUCUGAUUUUGAACAUCAACUGUUUGAUAAAAUGCUAACUAGUAGCAACUGGCAAUUAUAUCACUUCUUGCUUUCUCUUCAACUGUGAGAUAAGUGAGGGAUUCUUUAGCUUUACAGUGCUUCAGAAGGUCGAUAUUUACGUUUCAUCAUAGGGAGAUAUGAAGCUCAAAACUCCAAGUGUUGAUAUAUGCAAAGACAAAGUGAAGGUAUUGAAGGUAUUUCAGGAACUGAAAGCUCACUGGCAGUAUACAAGUAUCCAAAUUUUAUCCAAGAUGCUGCAUCUAAAGUACUCAGAAAAUGAAAAGCAACUAGAAAGAGAAAGAACGAUCUUUUUCAAAUGCAUUUGAAGUAAAUAGUUUACUUGCACAGGUCCCGGCUCUGCCUAAUGUCAACCAUCGGAAGCAAUCAAUCUCUUCUUCUACGAAAUGGCAACAAACUAGUGAAGAUGAAAGUGUACAGAAAGAAGGAGCAGAAGUGGAGGAUGUUAUGGAAUGCAGUUCCCAUGCGAGGGAAAAAAUCGUAGGUAAAGAUUUCAAGAAGAAGAGAUAUAUGCAUUUGCAUUGGUCUACAAUUGACCGUGAUCAUUUUCAUUACUCAUCCUAAUUAGUUUUCUGAGUUGAGGAUAUGUUUAGCUAAUAUUAAUUAUGAUUUACUGCAGCUAUCUUACCCUUUAAAUGUUGAUUAUAGUUAUUUGUUGUAACUCAUUCAUGUUCUUGAUAAAAGGAUGAUAAUUUUAAAGGGGUAGAGAUCACUAAGGGGCAAUUGAAAAUGUAUAGUAACUGUAUUUUUUGCUAUCAUUUGUAAUUCUGGAGUAUUGUUGAGAGUUCUAAGGGUGAUGAUAAAUUAA